AGAGAAAUAGCUGGGUCAAUUGGUGGUUCCAUUCCAAUUUUUCCAAGGAAUCUCCAUAUUGCUUUCCAAAUUUGCUGCACCAAUUUGCAGUCCCACCAGCAGG
rnacentral:pre_miRNA from 1 species